rnacentral:rRNA from 1 species
AUAUUGGACAAUGGGGGAAACCCUGAUCCAGCCAUGCCGCGUGUGUGAAGAAGGCCCUAGGGUUGUAAAGCACUUUAAUUGAGGAGGAAGGCCUGAUGGUUAAUACCUGUCAGGAUUGACGUUACUCAAAGAAUAAGCACCGGCUAACUCCGUGCCAGCAGCCGCGGUAAUACGGAGGGUGCAAGCGUUAAUCGGAAUUACUGGGCGUAAAGCGCGCGUAGGCGGCUUGCUAAGUCGGAUGUGAAAGCCCUGGGCUCAACCUGGGAAUGGCCUUCGAUACUGGCGAGCUAGAGUACAAGAGAGGGUGGUGGAAUUUCUAGUGUAGCGGUGAAAUGCGUAGAUAUUAGAAGGAACAUCAGUGGCGAAGGCGGCCACCUGGCUUGAUACUGACGCUGAGGUGCGAAAGCGUGGGGAGCAAACAGG